rnacentral:rRNA from 1 species
UACAGAGGGUGCGAGCGUUAAUCGGAAUUACUGGGCGUAAAGCGUGCGUAGACGGUUACAUAAGUCGGGUGUGAAAGCCCCGGGCUCAACCUGGGAAUUGCAUUCGAGACUGCGUAGCUAGGGUGCGGAAGAGGGAAGCGGAAUUCCGGUGUAGCGGUGAAAUGCGUAGAUAUCGGAAGGAACACCAGUGGCGAAAGCGGACUUCCGUGGUCCAGCACCGACGUUCAGGCACGAACGCGUGGGGAGCAAACAGGAUGAGAACCCGUAGAAGUCCAGAACCAAGUCCUACGUGCAGCCGUAAUC